rnacentral:rRNA from 1 species
GGCGCACGGUGGAUGCCUUGGCACUAGAAGCCGAUGAAGGACGUUACUAACGACGAUAUGCUUUGGGGAGCUGUAAGUAAGCUUUGAUCCAGAGAUUUCCGAAUGGGGAAACCCAGCAUGAGUUAUGUCAUGUUAUCGAUAUGUGAAUACAUAGCAUAUCAGAAGGCACACCCGGAGAACUGAAACAUCUUAGUACCCGGAGGAAGAGAAAGAAAAUUCGAUUCCCUUAGUAGCGGCGAGCGAAACGGGAAGAGCCCAAACCAACAAGCUUGCUUGUUGGGGUUGUAGGACACUCUAUACGGAGUUACAAAGGACGACAUUAGACGAAUCAUCUGGAAAGAUGAAUCAAAGAAGGUAAUAAUCCUGUAGUCGAAAAUGUUGUCUCUCUUGAGUGGAUCCUGAGUACGACGGAGCACGUGAAAUUCCGUCGGAAUCUGGGAGGACCAUCUCCUAAGGCUAAAUACUCUCUAGUGACCGAUAGUGAACCAGUACCGUGAGGGAAAGGUGAAAAGCACCCCGGAAGGGGAGUGAAAUAGAACCUGAAACCGUGUGCUUACAAGUAGUCAGAGCCCGUUAAUGGGUGAUGGCGUGCCUUUUGUAGAAUGAACCGGCGAGUUACGAUUUGAUGCAAGGUUAAGCAGUAAAUGUGGAGCCGUAGCGAAAGCGAGUCUGAAUAGGGCGUUUAGUAUUUGGUCGUAGACCCGAAACCAGGUGAUCUACCCUUGGUCAGGUUGAAGUUCAGGUAACACUGAAUGGAGGACCGAACCGACUUACGUUGAAAAGUGAGCGGAUGAACUGAGGGUAGCGGAGAAAUUCCAAUCGAACCUGGAGAUAGCUGGUUCUCUCCGAAAUAGCUUUAGGGCUAGCCUCAAGUGAUGAUUAUUGGAGGUAGAGCACUGUUUGGACGAGGGGCCCCUCUCGGGUUACCGAAUUCAGACAAACUCCGAAUGCCAAUU